UAGUCCACGCCGUAAACGAUGUCUACUUGGAGGUUGGUGCCUUGAGCACUGGCUUUCGGAGCUAACGCGUUAAGUAGACCGCCUGGGGAGUACGGUCGCAAGAUUAAAACUCAAAUGAAUUGACGGGGGCCCGCACAAGCGGUGGAGCAUGUGGUUUAAUUCGAUGCAACGCGAAGAACCUUACCUACUCUUGACAUCUACAGAAGCUUGAAGAGAUUCGAGUGUGCCUUCGGGAACUGUAAGACAGGUGCUGCAUGGCUGUCGUCAGCUCGUGUUGUGAAAUGUUGGGUUAAGUUCCGCAACGAGCGCAACCCCUAUCCUUGUUUGCCAGCACGUAAUGGGGGGAACUCCAGGGAGACUGCCGGUGAUAAACCGGAGGAAGGUGGGGACGACGUCAAGUCAUCAUGGCCCUUACGAGUAGGGCUACACACGUGCUACAAUGGCAUAUACAGAGGGCUGCAAGCUAGCGAUAGUGAGCGAAUCCCACAAAGUAUGUCGUAGUCCGG
rnacentral:rRNA from 1 species